AGUCCCAAAGUGUCCCCAAGUGCCACCACCGUGUCCCCAGGUGUCCUCGGGCCGGCCGCUGUCCCCGAAGCGCAGCUGGAGCCCGCGCCUGACGCUGCGCAGCCACUACGACGCCGUGCGGGCGCUGGCCUUUGUCCCUUGUCACCCGGCGCUGGUGACAGCCUCCGAGGACGCCACCCUCAAGCUCUGGAACCUGCAGAAGCCGCUUGUCCCCAAGAAGAGCGCGGCGCUGGACGUGGAGCCGGUGUACGCCUUCCGCGGGCACAGAGGCCCUGUCCUGGCGGUGGCAGUGCGGCAGGUGACACGGGUGACACGGGUGACAGCGGUGACAUCGGGCUGUGCUGCAGUGCCGGGGUGGACGCUCGGAUCCGCUGCUGGCGCCUGCCCGGGCUGGACAGCGACCCCUACGAUGGCUACGGUGGGUGGCACUUGGGGACAUCGGGGACACCUGGGGACAGUCGGGGGUGUGGUGGCACCUGGGGACAUCGGGGACACCUGGGGACAUCGGGGGUGUGGUUGGCACCUGGGGAUAGUCGUGGGACACCGUGGGGACAGUCGGGGUGUGGUGGCACGUUGGG
rnacentral:lncRNA from 1 species